CUGAGUACGGCGGAACACGUGAAAUUCCGUCGGAAUCCGGGAGGACCAUCUCCCAAGGCUAAAUACUCCCUAGUGACCGAUAGUGAACCAGUACCGUGAGGGAAAGGUGAAAAGCACCCCGGAAGGGGAGUGAAACAGUUCCUGAAACCGUGUGCCUACAAGUAGUUAGAGCCCGUUAAUGGGUGAUAGCGUGCCUUUUGUAGAAUGAACCGGCGAGUUACGAUUUGUUGCAAGGUUAAGCGGAAAAAGCGGAGCCGUAGCGAAAGCGAGUCUGAAUAGGGCGCAUAAGUAACAGGUCGUAGACCCGAAACCAGGUGAUCUACCCAUGUCCAGGAUGAAGGUAAGGUAAUACUUACUGGAGGUCCGAACCCACGCACGUUGAAAAGUGCGGGGAUGAGGUGUGGGUAGCGGAGAAAUUCCAAUCGAACUUGGAGAUAGCUGGUUCUCUCCGAAAUAGCUUUAGGGCUAGCCUCGAGGUAAAGAGUCAUGGAGGUAGAGCACUGUUUGGACUAGGGGCCCUUCUCGGGUUACCGAAUUCAGAUAAACUCCGAAUGCCAUGUACUUAUACUCGGGAGUCAGACUGCGAGUGAUAAGAUCCGUAGUCGAAAGGGAAACAGCCCAGACCACCAGUUAAGGUCCCCAAAUAUAUGUUAAGUGGAAAAGGAUGUGGGGUUGCUUAGACAACCAGGAUGUUGGCUUAGAAGCAGCCACCAUUGAAAGAGUGCGUAAUAGCUCACUGGUCGAGUGACCCCGCGCCGAAAAUGUACCGGGGCUAAACAUAUUACCGAAACUGUGGAUGAACCUCUUUAGAGGUUCGUGGUAGGAGAGCGUUCUAAGGGCGGUGAAGUCAGACCGGAAGGACUGGUGGAGCGCUUAGAAGUGAGAAUGCCGGUAUGAGUAGCGAAAGAAGGGUGAGAAUCCCUUCCACCGAAUAUCUAAGGUUUCCUGAGGAAGGCUCGUCCGCUCAGGGUUAGUCGGGACCUAAGCCGAGGCCGAUAGGCGUAGGCGAUGGACAACAGGUAGAGAUUCCUGUACCAGUGCUAAUU
rnacentral:rRNA from 1 species